UGAGGAAUCUUGCGCAAUGGGGGAAACCCUGACGCAGCAACGCCGCGUGAGUGAGGAAGGCCUUCGGGUCGUAAAGCUCUGUCAGAUGGGAAGGAAUGGGUGGGGGUGAAUAUCGUCCACCCUUGACGGUACCAUCAGAGGAAGCACCGGCUAACUCCGUGCCAGCAGCCGCGGUAAUACGGGGGGUGCAGGCGUUGUUCGGAAUCAUUGGGCGUAAAGCGCGCGCAGGCGGCUUGGUAAGUCAGAUGUGAAAGCCCUGGGCUUAACUCAGGAAGUGCAUUUGAUACUGCCUCGCUAGAGUACGGGAGAGGAAAGUGGAAUUCCUGGUGUAGAGGUGAAAUACGUAGAUAUCAGGAGGAACACCGGUGGCGAAGGCGACUUUCUGGCCCGAUACUGACGCUCAGGCGCGAAAGCGUGGGAGCAAACAG
rnacentral:rRNA from 1 species